GGGGUUGUGGCUCAGAGGUAGAGCACUCACCACUCGCCUACCAUUAGUGAGGCACUGGGUUCGAUCCCCAGUACCACA
rnacentral:tRNA from 1 species